rnacentral:rRNA from 1 species
UACAGAGGUCUCAAGCGUUGUUCGGAUUCAUUGGGCGUAAAGGGUGCGUAGGCGGCUCGUUAAGUCGGGUGUGAAAUCUUGGAGCUUAACUCCGAAACUGCAUUCGAUACUGCCGUGCUUGAGGACUGGAGAGGAGACUGGAAUUUACGGUGUAGCGGUGAAAUGCGUAGAUAUCGGAAGGAAGACCAGUGGCGAAGGCGGGUCUCUGGACAGUUCCUGACACUGAGACACGAAGGCCAGGGGAGCAAACGGG